UGAAAGUCCAAGGGUUCCUGCUUAAAGCUAAUCUGAGCAGGGUAAGCCGGCCCCUAAGGCGAGGCCGAAAGGCGUAGUCGAUGGGAACCAGGUUAAUAUUCCUGGGCCAGGAGGAUGUGACGGAUCUCGAAGGUUGUCUGCCCUUAUCGGAUUGGGUGGGCUGCUCAGAGGUUCCUGGAAAUAGCCCUCCAUGAGACCGUACCCGAAACCGACACAGGUGGACUGGUAGAGUAUACCAAGGCGCUUGAGAGAACCACGUUAAAGGAACUCGGCAAAAUGCCUCCGUAAGUUCGCGAGAAGGAGGCCCCGUCUGUAGGCAACUAUGGGCGGGGGGCACAAACUAGGGGGUGGCGACUGUUUACUUAAAACACAGGGCUGUGCGAAGCCGUAAGGCGACGUAUACAGUCUGACGCCUGCCCGGUGCUGGAAGAUUAAGAGGAGGGGUGCAAGCUCUGAAUUGAAGUCCCAGUAAACGGCGGCCGUAACAAUAACGGUCCUAAGGUAGCGAAAUUCCUUGUCGGGUAAGUUCCGACCUGCACGAAUGGCGUAACGAUCUCCCCGCUGUCUCUAACGUGGACUCAGCGAAAUUGAACUGUGUGUCAAGAUGCACACUACCCGCGGUUAGACGGAAAGACCCCAUGAACCUUUACUCCAGCUUUGCAUUGGCAUCAGGAUUGUGAUGUGCAGGAUAGGUGGUAGGCAUUGAAGCGGGGACGCCAGUCUUCGUGGAGCCUCCCUUGAGAUACCACCCUUCGCACUCUUGAUGUCUAACCGCGGCCCGUUAUCCGGGUCCGGGACCCUGCAUGGUGGGGAGUUUGACUGGGGCGGUCGCCUCCCAAACAGUAACGGAGGCGCGCGAUGGUUGGCUCAGACCGGUCGGAAAUCGGUCGUUGAGUGCAAUGGCAGAAGCCAGCCUGACUGCAAGACUGACAAGUCGAGCAGAGACGAAAGUCGGUCAUAGUGAUCCGGUGGUCCCAAGUGGGGGGGCCAUCGCUCAACGGAUAAAAGGUACUCUGGGGAUAACAGGCUGAUGAUGCCCAAGAGUCCAUAUCGACGGCAUCGUUUGGCACCUCGAUGUCGGCUCAUCUCAUCCUGGGGCUGGAGCAGGUCCCAAGGGUACGGCUGUUCGCCGUUUAAAGAGGUACGUGAGCUGGGUUUAGAACGUCGUGAGACAGUUCGGUCCCUAUCUGCCGUGGGUGCAGGAGACUUGAGAAGAGUUGACCCUAGUACGAGAGGACCGGGUUGAACGAACCACUGGUGGACCAGUUAUCGUGCCAACGGUAGUGCUGGGUAGCUAUGUUCGGACAGGAUAACCGCUGAAGGCAUCUAAGCGGGAAGCCCCCUUCAAAACAAGGUCUCCCUUGAGGGCCGUGUAAGACGACCACGUCGAUAGGCCGGAGGUGCAAGCGCAGCAACGCGUUCAGCUGACCGGUACUAAUUGCCCU
rnacentral:rRNA from 1 species